rnacentral:sRNA from 1 species
CCGGGGCUCUUGAGCUAUAAGUGGCACCUCAGGGCCCUGACGGGCGUCUCGCCAUGCUGCUCCUGGGCCUGCUGCUGCUGCUGCCCCUGCUGGCUGGCGCCCGCCUGCUGUGGAACUGGUGGAAGCUCCGGAGCCUCCACCUCCCGCCUCUUGCCCCGGGCUUCUUGCACCUGCUGCAGCCUGACCUCCCCAUCUAUCUGCUUGGCCUGACUCAGAAAUUCGGGCCCAUCUACAGGCUCCACCUUGGGCUGCAAGAUGUGGUGGUGCUGAACUCCAAGAGGACCAUUGAGGAAGCCAUGGUCAAAAAGUGGGCAGACUUUGCUGGCAGACCUGAGCCACUUACCUGUAAGGGCCAGGGGCAUUUUUUCUUUCUUAAAAAAAUUUUUUUUUAAGAGAUGGGGUCUUGCUAUGCUGCCCAGGCUGGUCUUAAAUUCCUAGUCUCAAAUGAUCCUCCCACCUCAGCCUCAAGUGUGAGCCACCUUUGGGGCAUCCCCAAUCCAGGUCCCUGGAAGCUCUUGGGGGGGGCAUAUCUGGUGGGGAGGAAGCAGGGGUUGGGGAGGCCGAGGAAGGUCAGGCCCUCGGCUGCCUUCAUCAGUUCCCACCCUCCAGCCCCCAACUCCUCCUGCAGACAAGCUGGUGUCUAAGAACUA